rnacentral:rRNA from 1 species
GAUGAACGCUGGCGGCGGGCUUAACACAUGCAAGUCGAACGGAAAGGCCAGUGCUGGCACUGGUACUCGAGUGGCGAACGGGGGAGGAACAGGUGGGUGAUCUGCCCUGCACUUCGGGAUAAGCCAGGGAAACUGGGUCUAAUACCGGAUAGGACAAGGGCUUGGAGGGCGUUGUGGAAAGUUUUUGCGGUGGGGGAUGAGCUUGCGGCCUAGCAGCUUGUUGGUGGGGAAAUGGCCUACCAAGGCGUCGACGGGUAGCCGGCCUUAGAGUGUGUAGGGACGGUUCAGGACUCAGAUACGGCCCAGACUGCUACGGAAGGGAGCAGUGGGGCAUAUUGGACCCUGCGAGAAAGCCUGAUUCAGCGAGGCCGCGUGGGUGAUGACGGCCUUCGGGUUGUAAAAUCCUUUCGCUAUGAACGCAGCGUAUUUGUGACGGUACCUGAAGAAGAAGCACCGGCUAACUACGUG